rnacentral:rRNA from 1 species
AUUGAACGCUGGCGGCAUGCCUUACACAUGCAAGUCGAACGGCAGCACGGGAGCAAUCCUGGUGGCGAGUGGCGAACGGGUGAGUAAUAUAUCGGAACGUGCCCGGUCGUGGGGGAUAACGUAGCGAAAGCUACGCUAAUACCGCAUACGAUCUACGGAUGAAAGCGGGGGAUCGCAAGACCUCGCGCGAUUGGAGCGGCCGAUAUCAGAUUAGGUAGUUGGUGAGGUAAAGGCUCACCAAGCCGACGAUCUGUAGCUGGUCUGAGAGGACGACCAGCCACACUGGGACUGAGACACGGCCCAGACUCCUACGGGAGGCAGCAGUGGGGAAUUUUGGACAAUGGGCGCAAGCCUGAUCCAGCAACGCCGCGUGCAGGAUGAAGGCCUUCGGGUUGUAAACUGCUUUUGUACGGAACGAAACGGUGAGCUCUAAUACAGUUUGCUAAUGACAGUACCGGGAGAAUAAGCUCCGGCUAACUCCGUG